rnacentral:rRNA from 1 species
GCCCUAGUAACGGCGAGUGAAGCGGCAACAGCUCAAAUUUGAAAUCUGGCCUUCGGGUCCGAGUUGUAAUUUGCAGAGGAUGCUUUUGGCGCGGUGCCUUCCGAGUUCCCUGGAACGGGACGCCUUAGAGGGUGAGAGCCCCGUACGGUUGGACACCAAGCCUCUGUAAAGCUCCUUCGACGAGUCGAGUAGUUUGGGAAUGCUGCUCUAAAUGGGAGGUAAAUUUCUUCUAAAGCUAAAUACCGGCCAGAGACCGAUAGCGCACAAGUAGAGUGAUCGAAAGAUGAAAAGCACUUUGAAAAGAGGGUUAAAUAGCACGUGAAAUUGUUGAAAGGGAAGCGUUUACGGCCAGACCUUUUCCUGGCGGAUCAUCUGGUGUUCUCACCAGUGCACUCCGCCAGGUUUAGGCCAGCAUCGGCCCCCGUAGGGGGAUAAAAGCAGUGGGAAAGUAGCUCCUUCGGGAGUGUUAUAGCCCUCUGCAUAAUACCCUUACAGGGGCCGAGGACCGCGCUUUUUGCAAGGAUGCUGGCGUAAUGGUCGUCAACGACCCGUCUUGAAACACGGACCAAGGAGUCGAACAUUUGUGCGAGUGUUUGGGUGUCAAACCCUCACGCGUAAUGAAAGUGAACGGAGGUGAGAGCCCCUUCGGGGGUGCAUCAUCGACCGAUCCUGAUGUCUUCGGAUGGAUUUGAGUAAGAGCAUAACUGUUCGGACCCGAAAGAUGGUGAACUAUGCGUGGAUAGGGUGAAGCCAGAGGAAACUCUGGUGGAGGCUCGCAGCGGUUCUGACGUGCAAAUCGAUCGUCAAAUCUGCGCAUGGGGGCGAAAGACUUAUCGA